rnacentral:tRNA from 1 species
GGGGUUGUAGCUCAUCGGUAGAGCACUCCCCUCUUAUGUGUGAGACCCUGGGUUCGAUCUUCAGCACCACA